CUUGAGAAAAAAAAUUGAAAAUGGCUGUGACUUUGACAGUUUACCCCUCUUUGCAACAGAGGAAACAUUAGGAAAGGGUAGAAGAGAGAAAGUAAAAAGGUCCUCAACAGAUGUUGGCGAGACUUCAUUUCUGGACCUGGAAAAUGCACCGGUAACCAAAAAAAAGAAAAAUACCAAAAACAUCAUUCAACAGAAGAUUAUGGCUGCGGUGAAACAAAGCUGCACUCAAAUAAAUGUCAGCAGGAAACUACUUUAUUUUAUCUUUUAUAAACUAUAACUUUACAGCUAGAAUACAUAAUAACUGAUAUUGUACUUCAGGAACCAAGACCUGCCGUGGGAGUGCUGAAGGAUUCAAGUGUACCAAGUCCUUUGUCUCCUCAGCCAUGUAAGAGGUCAGACAUGGCUGAAGAGAUCAAAGAGUUUAAAAAUGAAAUUAAAGAGCUUAAAGAAGAUUUAAAAUAUGAGCGUCGCUUCAGGAUAAAAGCAGAGAGAGAGCUGAGGGAGUGGAAAGGUAAUGAAAUCUAGCUAUAGUGCUGCAAUUGUUCUCAAUUUUGUGAGCUAUCUUCUUCAGUAUAUAUAAUAUCAUAUUAUUUUUGAAUACUCGAUUCUGAUUGGCUGGAAGGUGUGCAUUAAACAAUGAAUGCACAGGUUACAAGUCAGUUGAAUCACUGUUCUAAAUUAAUUUGCUGCUUUUAUUGUAGGACACACACACACACGUUUGUUUUUGUGAAAAGUGGGGACAUCCCAUAGGCGUAAUGGUUUUUAUAAUGUAGAAACUGUAUAUUCUAUCGCCAUUCACUAACCCUAACCCUAACCCUCACAGGAAUAUUUGUGCAUUUUUACUUUCUCAAAAAAACUCAUUCUGUAUGAUUUAUAAGCGUUUUGAAAAAUGUGGACAUGGGUUAUGUCCUCAUAAGUCACCCUCUCCUUGUAAUACCUGUGUCAUACCAAUGUCAUUAUACAGAGUUGUGUCCUGAUAUGUCACAAAAACAUGCCCACACACACACACACACACUCACACACAGGCAGUCACUCGCAAAAAGAGAUCUUGCAAUGAUCUCACACGCAGAAAUAUCAAAAGUAACCGAAAAGUAACCUGGUCUGUCCUGUCUGUCAGUGAGUGCGUUGUCAGUCUCCUCUCUGCUACGCAAUGUAUUUUUCCUUGCGUAAGAACAUGGAAUGUCAUGAGAGCAGUGUAGCUUGUCAGGCAUAGCGACAGUAACUAAGGGGGGUGGGUCUUUGCGAACUGACAAUUAAAGUGACAGCUUCAUUAGGAAAAUGCUGUGCCUGAUGAAAAGGAACACUCCACUUUUUUUUUUUUUUUUUGGAAAUAGGCUAAUUUUUCAACUCCCCAUUUAUCCUGACCACGACUGUAUUUAUCAAUUCAUAUUAAUAUUUUUCCCAAUUAUUUUAUUUUGAUUUUAGAUUAGAAUCUUGAAUGAAAGACCAAGAGGAUAAAUGGUGCCAAUAGAUGUGGAGGGCACUGUAAAGGUUUUGUGGAUUGUGAACAUGAUUGUGUCGUUCUGCUUUUUUCAGAAAUGCAUGCUGUUGUGCAGGAGCUUAAAGGCACAGUAGGAGAAAUAAAGAUGUGCAUUUCAAAGCACAAGCCUGACACUCUGCAGACCUCAUCUUCUCAAAACAUCUGUUCUCAAACUCAAGAACCAUGCUCUGCUCAAGGAAGUAAGCAGGUAGUCGAUUACAUCAAUUUGGGGGAGGGGGUGCGGAUCAAGAGAAGCCAGUUUGAUAGGAUCAACACCCAAGAUUUUAAAAAAUUUACCAGCGAGCUUUUCCUUGUAACCUUUGGGCGAGAAACUCUUGCCACUCACUCUCUAAAUGGAAGAAAGGCACCCAAUGCAGAGACCAGCAAGGAGGCACUUCCAGCUCACACAGUGUCCGUCUUAAUAGACUAUAUCCAAAAGAAAUUCAGUGUGUCUUCAUCUGAUGUAAAGGCAGUCAUAAGAACCAAGCUUAACAACGAGGACAAGCUAUUCAAAAAACGAAACCUUCCUGAGUAAUGAAAAUAGACUAUAAAGUGUUUAUUUGCAAAUGAUUAAUUUAUUAAUUUAGUUUCUAACUCUCAGCCGGUUAUUUAAAGUUUAAAUAAAUAAAAAAAUGUAUUGUUAAAUUGCAGAUUCACUGUUGUUUUGUACAUAAAUUAAUAUAUGUGUGAAAAUAAAACUAUUUUCUGGAUAACCCGGUUGUAUCUGUACAGCACUUUAUUAGUACUUGUACUUUAGUUGUAAUCUUUAUUUUAGUACUACUGCAGUUGUACUGCAGUUUAGAAAUACUUCAGCUGUACUGCAUCUGCUCCAAUACAUCUAAAGUACUAGUAAAAUAAUACUGUGAUACAGAUUCAGUACAGCUGAAGUACUUCUAAAAUACAACUGCAGUACAACUGCAGUAGUACUACAAUACAAAAGUAAAACUUCAGACUUCUUUUUUUUACAGUAAUACUGCAAUAUUGCAGUUUUUUCGUGUCCAAAAAACUGCAUUUUUCUACAUGUAACAAAAACUGUAGUAUUACUUCUAAAAAA